GGGGAAUAUUGGACAAUGGGCGAAAGCCUGAUCCAGCAAUGCCGCGUGAGUGAUGAAGGCCUUAGGGUUGUAAAGCUCUUUUACCCGGGAUGAUAAUGACAGUACCGGGAGAAUAAGCUCCGGCUAACUCCGUGCCAGCAGCCGCGGUAAUACGGGGGGAGCUAGCGUUGUUCGGAAAUACUGGGCGUAAAGCGCGCGUAGGCGGCUUUUCAAGUCAGGGGUGAAAUCCCGGGGCUCAACCUCGGAACUGCCUUUGAAACUGGAGAGCUAGAAUCUUGGAGAGGUCAGUGGAAUUCCGAGUGUAGAGGUGAAAUUCGUAGAUAUUCGGAAGAACACCAGUGGCGAAGGCGACUGACUGGACAAGUAUUGACGCUGAGGUGCGAAAGCGUGGGGAGCAAAC
rnacentral:rRNA from 1 species